AUACGUAGGGGGCGAGCGUUGUCCGGAAUGAUUGGGCGUAAAGGGCGCGUAGGCGGCCCGGUAAGUCUGGAGUGAAAGUCCUGUUUUUAAGAUGGGAAUUGCUUUGGAUACUGUCGGGCUUGAGUGCAGGAGAGGUAAGUGGAAUUCCCAGUGUAGCGGUGAAAUGCGUAGAGAUUGGGAGGAACACCAGUGGCGAAGGCGACUUACUGGACUGUAGCUGACGCUGAGGCGCGAAAGUGUGGGGAGCAAACAGGAUUAGAUACCCUGGUAGUCCACGCAGUAAACGAUGAUGGCUAACCGCUGGGCUUAUCAGUUCAGUGGCCAAGCGAAAGCGAUAAGCCAUCCACCUGGGGAGUACGACCGCAAGGUUGAAACUCAAAGGAAUUGACGGGG
rnacentral:rRNA from 1 species